rnacentral:rRNA from 1 species
GAUGAACGCUGGCGGCGUGCCUAAUACAUGCAAGUCGAACGCAUUGUGGUUGAAAUGAUAUGAAGAACUUGUUCAGAUUUGAUUUUCAACAUUGCAAUGAGUGGCGAACGGGUGAGUAACACGUGGGAAACCUACCUCUUAGCAGGGGAUAACAUUUGGAAACAAAUGCUAAUACCGUAUAAUAAUUAAAACCGGCAUGGUUUUAGUUUAAAAGAUGGUCUUGCUAUCACUAAGAGAUGGUCCCGCGGUGUAUUAGUUAGUUGGUGAGGUAAUGGCUCACCAAGACAAUGAUACAUAGCCGAAGUUGAGAGACUGACCGGCCACAAUGGGACUGAGACAGGCCCAUACUCCUACGGGAGGCAGCAGUUAGGGAAUCUUCCACAAUGGACGAAAGUCUGAUGGAGCAACGCCGCGUGUGUGAUGAAGGGUUUC